CUGCUUGACUAGCUGAGAGGAGGUGCAUGGCCGUCGUCAGUUCGUACUGUGAAGCAUCCUGUUAAGUCAGGCAACGAGCGAGACCCACGCCAACAGUUGCCAGCAUGUCCUCCGGGAUGAUGGGGACACUGUUGGGACCGCCUCUGCUAAAGAGGAGGAAGGGAAUGGGCAACGGUAGGUCAGCAUGCCCCGAAUUAUCCGGGCUACACGCGGGCUACAAUGGUCAGGACAAUGGGUAUCGACACCGAGAGGUGGAGGCAAUCUCCUAAACCUGUCCUUAGUUCGGAUUGUGGGCUGCAACUCGCCCACAUGAAGCUGGAAUCCGUAGUAAUCGCGUUUCAAAAUAGCGCGGUGAAUAUGUCCCUGCUCCUU
rnacentral:rRNA from 1 species